rnacentral:rRNA from 1 species
AGAGUUUGAUCCUGGCUCAGGACGAACGCUGGCGGCGUGCUUCACACAUGCAAGUCGAGCGGACACCAUCCGGUAGCAAUACUGGUGAAGUGUUAGCGGCGAACGGGUGAGCAACACGUGAGCAACCUGCCCCCAAGUCUGGGAUAACCCCGGGAAACCGGAGCUAAUACCGGAUGCCCUCGUCGGGCCGCAUGACCUGA